UUUGACUAAAGGUUGAGUAUAAGCAUCAGCAUCUUACUCAGAAACCCAAAUUAAGACAGAAAAUUAAUUAGUUAACCUAUGAUAUCUCAAAAUGGGUGACUCUGCUGCAGCCUCACUCCUAGCAGAAAGUACAUCCCUAGCAACCAGCACCCUAGAGCGAGCCACCCUCACUGCUCGAUCUACUACUCACACAACCAGUACAUGUACAUGGUAUACAGGCCUAGCUGACAUCAGUGACAUACUACUAAAUAGAAAACCGCUUGUUAUGCUGAGCAUUUCAGGCAAAUUAGGACAGUUUUGUCCCAGGAUGUGACCCACACCAGUCAACUAACACCCAGCUGUGAUCGAGAAACAACUCCAAAACGAAGCGAAGCUCACC